rnacentral:rRNA from 1 species
CCUACGGGUGGCUGCAGUGAGGAAUAUUGGUCAAUGGACGAGAGUCUUACCCAGCCAAGUAGCGUGAAGGAUGACUGCCCUAUGGGUUGUAAACUUCUUUUAUAUGGGAAUAAAACGUUCCACGUGUGGGGUUUUGUAUGUACCAUAUGAAUAAGGAUCGGCUAACUCCGUGCCAGCAGCCGCGGUAAUACGGAGGAUCCGAGCGUUAUCAGGAUUUAUUGGGUUAAAAGGGAGCGUAGGUGGAUUGUUAAGUCAGUUGUGAAAGUUUGUGGCUCAACCGUAAAAUUGCAGUUGAAACUGGCAGUCUUGAGUACAGUAGAGGUGGGCGGAAUUCGUGGUGUAGCGGUGAAAUGCUUAGAUAUCACGAAGAACUCCGAUUGCGAAGGCAGUUCACUGGACUGCAACUGACACUGAGGCUCGAAAGUGUGGGUAUCAAACAGGAUUAGAUACCCGUGUAGUC